rnacentral:lncRNA from 1 species
AAAAUACAACACAAUUGAAAAACAAACAACAAUUAAACAGACGAUUCGUCCUUUGGGUUUGUUAGUGUAUUUGGAAAUGAGGAAUAUGAUUUUUGUUUUAGAUUGGAUUAUUUGAAAAGGGAAGAGAAAACAUAUGUUUGCUUAUAUUAAAAAUUAUGAUGAACAUUCCUCGUUCCUGUAUAUCAUUGACAAAAUAGUUUGUUUAUGAUUUCAAUUAAAUUAAACAGAAUAAGUUUAUCCGAGAAAACAAUUGAUUAUCAUGCGAAUUGUCAU